ACGGAAGGCAGCAGUGGGGAAUAUUGCACAAUGGGGGAAACCCUGAUGCAGCGACGCCGCGUGAGUGAAGAAGUAUUUCGGUAUGUAAAGCUCUAUCAGCAGGGAAGAAAAUGACGGUACCUGACUAAGAAGCCCCGGCUAACUACGUGCCAGCAGCCGCGGUAAUACGUAGGGGGCAAGCGUUAUCCGGAUUUACUGGGUGUAAAGGGAGCGUAGACGGCAUUGCAAGUCUGAUGUGAAAGCCCGGGGCUUAACUCCGGGACUGCAUUGGAAACUGUAGAGCUAGAGUGCAGGAGAGGUAAGUGGAAUUCCUAGUGUAGCGGUGAAAUGCGUAGAUAUUAGGAGGAACACCAGAGGCGAAGGCGGCUUACUGGACUGUAACUGACGUUGAGGCUCGAAAGCGUGGGGAGCAAACAGGAUUAGAUACCCUGGUA
rnacentral:rRNA from 1 species